AUUGAACGCUGGCGGCAUGCCUUACACAUGCAAGUCGAACGGUAACAGGUUAAGCUGACGAGUGGCGAACGGGUGAGUAAUAUAUCGGAACGUGCCCAGUCGUGGGGGAUAACUGCUCGAAAGAGCAGCUAAUACCGCAUACGACCUGAGGGUGAAAGCGGGGGAUCGCAAGACCUCGCGCGAUUUGAGCGGCCGAUAUCAGAUUAGGUAGUUGGUGGGGUAAAGGCCUACCAAGCCUACGAUCUGUAGCUGGUCUGAGAGGACGACCAGCCACACUGGGACUGAGACACGGCCCAGACUCCUACGGGAGGCAGCAGUGGGGAAUUUUGGACAAUGGACGCAAGUCUGAUCCAGCCAUGCCGCGUGCGGGAAGAAGGCCUUCGGGUUGUAAACCGCUUUUGUCAGGGAAGAAAAGGUUCUGGUUAAUACCUGGGACUCAUGACGGUACCUGAAGAAUAAGCACCGGCUAACUACGUGCCAGCCGCCGCAGUAAAAC
rnacentral:rRNA from 1 species